rnacentral:misc_RNA from 1 species
UCUCCGUAGGUGAACCUGUGGAGGGAUCAUUACCGAGUGAGGGUUCCGGCCCGACCUCCAACCCUUUGUGAAUUCGACCCAGUUGCCUCGGGGGCGACCCGGCCUUCGGGCGUCGGGGCCCCCGGAGCCCAUCAAACCCUGCGUAACUAAGUCGUCGGAGUUUAAACAAAUUAAACAAAACUUUCAACAACGGAUCUCUUGGUUCUGGCAUCGAUGAGAACGCAC